ensembl:lncRNA
GGCAGCGCUGCCCCGCGGUUCCCCGCUCGGCGGUGCUGCGGGAUGGGAGAGCGCUGUUCCCGUUCGCUUUUGCAAACGCUGUGAAAAGUUACAACUUCUCAUAACGGCGUUUUAUGUGAGCGCUGAAAUAUUUCGUAUCUGUUGGCUUCAGAAGUCGGUUAUGAGCCCUGCGGUUGCGGAUCUCAUUGAGAACGUCGCCGCUGACAUAGAACGGAGCGUUGCUUCCUGGUGUACCUUUUCCAGUCUUCCUGAUUUUUACGAGUUGUCCUUCUGCCAGGAGCUUCCUUAAUACUGUGUGAAGGAUCGCGGGUAGGGGGGAAAAAUAAAAGGAAAACAAAAUGUUUUAUUUCAGCUUAGGCCAGCUGUGAGGUGUUUUUACCCAAGCAUGCGUACAUGCAGUAUGCACACAUACUGGGUAAGUUCUCAGUUGCACAACAGGCAACGCAUUGAGAGCCGAGGUCAUACGUACGCCUUGCAUUUCUCUAACUGUACAUACGGAGCAGGAAGUUCUCUCCCUGAGCCUUUAGUUUUGUCGCAGAUGUACAGUGCAGCAGCUCACAGCAUCUGACAACUAUCUCAAUGCAGCCUUAAGCCUGGGUCCAUCUAGGGAUGCAUACAGCUCCGCUGUGCCACUGGAAGGUGUUCCUAUAGAAAACAAGCUGUUCAGGAACUUCCUGGAUGACUGGAAAUUGUGGCUGAAAUAAUGUUUAGUUCCUAACUCACGGAUUACCGAACCUUUAGCGAUCAGUGCUUGUGCUGAAUUGGUACUAAGAACAAAAGGAAGCGUGCAUUUUCUUUCUUGUUGUGUGUGCUUAGCAGUGCAGUGGCACGGUGACGGUCUUACUAACUUGGUGUCUGUCCUGAGCCUUCCACAGCCAGCAAGACCAAAGCAAGCACAGGAUUUAUCACUUUCGAGUUGUUUUGUAUAAAAUAAACAUACUUCCAAGUGCCUGAAUUUAAGAACUGUAGAAAACCCAUCAGUAUCUCUAUUUCCCUGGAGCGUGAGGCCCCAGCAGGGGCAGUGUGACAGUGGUGUACAUCUAACGCAUGCCUGUCCCCAGAGCUAUGGGAGGAGGGAAGGUCAUUGUGGGUCUGUGCUGAGGGAGCGCUCCUUCCAGAGGAUGCCCUUGGCAUGUAGCAUUCCCCUGAACAAUGUUUUGUGACUGUGACCUCCCCUCCAGUGUUAGGACUCACUGCAUCAGGUCUGGGUACCUCUGCCCUACUAAUACAAGCCCUUCAGGGGAAAGCAAGAGGCUGAAAUGAAACUGCAGGCUGUUUUGCACCCAGGACAAGACACUGCUCUUGUCUACCUGAGCAGGAGCAGUUCCUGUGUGUAAAUGCUGUGUUGGGGCCGUUCCAUUGCAGGACCAGCCUAUGUGAUGCCCUGUGGGGAGGCAUCAGGGGCACUACCAGGCAGGAUGAGGCACAAGCAGCUGCUGGCUUCUUUCACACCACUCCUGUUCGGCAUCUAUGGUCAGAAUGGUGCCUAAGUGGUUAAUAUCUGUGCUUCAGCCUUCCUACAGCCCUCUGUGAGAGAUGAGCAGCGAGACAGAGGAAAAUAAGUUGGGUGCCAAAGCAGCCUUGUAUUACAUGGAUAAGUCAGAAUACCACUAAUGAUCAUGAGUCAUUACAUUUGUCAAACAAACGGCUCAAUGAAGACCCAUCAUGGUGUGUAUUUGGGCAGAAUUUUAUGAUUCAAAUUGGCUCAUUCAUGUAAUCCUGGACUAAAUGACCCAGACCAGGGACUGGGCCAACUCCUCUUCAUGCGCUACUAAGCAGCAGCUACAAUGCAGAGGAUCUCUUUCCCCAAGCAAACAGUUUUGGCUAAUCUCAGUAUUACUGCAAAAAAAAAAGUGUUGCAGCUGUUAUAUAGCAAAGCCAUGAAGUAUAGCAACAUCCUUCAUACUGUGGGUUCUACUCAUCAGCUGACAGAGAGGUGUUCAAUAUAAUUAAUUGUAAUAAAGUCAAUGCAAGCUUAGUAAACUCUAAGUUAGUAGUAUGCAGUUCUAGAUUUCUUACUCUCGGAUUUGACCACAUAAAGAAUAUCUUGUUGAUUCAGGUCCAGGUUUCAAACAGUUUGAUGCAAGGUGUUUACUCUGAAGUGCUGUACAUCGCUCUAGGAGUGAGAAUGUGCAUCUAUAGAAGAAGGUAGCAAGUUUACCCACCUUUCAUUCAGAAUCAUUAAUCAGUCAUCAGUCGUGCUAAAUGCUGGUUGGCAAUGGGAAAUCCAGCUUUAGUGUCAGGAAAUUACAGUAGCGUCAAUACUCUGUAUCCUGUGCAUUAUAACUGUAACUAAGAAAAUGCAGUACCAAUCCUCUGCAUUUAAGCUGGUUUCAGAGACACUACUGGGAAAUGAAGAGUGGUUUCACAACAUGAUUUUAUCAUUUUGUAAUCAGAUCAGAGGCCAAUGAUAUGUGGUCAUCGCUGCACAGCAGAUGAGGUCAGAGUUCCUCCUCACUUGUGUAAGGUUAUCACCCUAAAUACCUCUAAUAGCCCUUUCUGAGAGGGAGGAAAAAUAGGUAUGAUUAAAGGAAAUCUUUAAGGAGUGUAUCCCCUAAUUUGUGGAGCUUUAAGGGCAUUAAGCGUGCAGUACCCAUUAAAAGCAGGGAGAACUAGAUGUCUAAAUCCUACCAAGCUGUGGAGGGGGGGGAAAAAAGAAAUAAAUAAAAGGAACGCCAAAUAGCAGAGUAGUUGUUACACAAAACACUUCAGUGCUCCCAGGGGGCUUGGUGAGAGAUGGGCCCUGGUGCUUAUUAUGAUAUCAGAACUCAGCAAUAGGCAAAGCAGGCUCUGGGCAUGACCUACUGCCCUCCCUUCUAUUACAGCACGUAAGAUGCUGGGUUAAGACCGUUGAGAAACUACCAAAUAGAUAUGAAUAUGUCAAAAACUCAUAGAACGUAGGGAUUGAUUCUUUACCUCUUCCUUCGUUUGUCUCUUGUGAAAGCAACAAGUGCUGAAAGUACCCAGAGGCAGAAUAAGGAAUCUACUAUCCUUGUGGUUACAGAACUGCUCUAAAUGCAUGUUGAAAUACAGCUGAGCUAGAAUGAAAGAAAAAAUGAAAUGUGCUGUGAAAAACUGCCUAUACGCAUCUCCUCCUUUUCUGACUGAAGCAUGUUAUUCAUCAGCAGGUCACUUAUUAAAAACUGAGUGUAGUUCCUUCCAGCCAGUAAAAGACAAUAGACCAAAUGUUGCUGUUACACACAGCUGGAGCGUAUUGAUAAAAGCCGCACAUUGUCUUUCCUCACAUAGUUUAAAGUCUAAAUAAAGAUAUACGACCAAAAGAAUGAGUGCUCAGCAAGGUGGUGCAGAAAGGGCAAGAGGUGAACGAGCUGUAUCAGUAAGUUAUAAAAUGCAUCAGAGGAAUAAGGUGUUUCUGCUGGGUGCCUCAAGCUUAAAGGGGAGCGAAGGUUUGUGUAUGCAUUAUGGAAAUACGGGGUUUUCAGGGAUACACUUGGAAAGAAAGGGGGCUGUAGUACCCCAAGAAAAUCUAUUCAGCGCAUUAAAACUGAGCUGAUGCUUAUAUGUGUUAUGGUUUUCUUCUUUUUUUACACACUGCAAACAACAGAGGAAAACAGAGAGGCUAUUGAUACUGUAACUGUCAUUUGACUGAACAUCUCACCAGCAAUGUAUCACUUCAACAAGUAUGUUCAUCUUUCAAGUUUAUCUUUUCCACCAUAUGUUUUGUAUAAAAAUAAGACUUGAGAACCUAUACAGUCUCCUUCAAAGUCCAGUGAAGCUCUCUACAAAGAGCUCCCCAUGACAUUUUUUUUUCCAUUUCAACCAAAGCCUGAAAGAAGAAACUGGCAGCCUUUGGGAAGGUGAGCAGAAAAGCAAGCAAGGAUGUGGCUAAACACACUCCAAGAGAAAAAGGGGAAAAACAGCUCUCCCAGCUGCAUGGUAUUACAGGUAAAACAGGUUGGGUCAAAGUCUCAUUUUUGCAUGGUUCCAAGGAUAUGAUUUGGCUAAAUAUUAGUUAUUCCAGUAUAAAGUUAAGUGUGAACUUAAAGUGGCAACGCUGCAUUAAAAUAAUCCCAUCGCAUUUGUUCCAGAAUAACAGUUGUUACAUAUGGAAUUAUUUGGUGAUGGUGGAUGUGAACAGGUAUUUUGGAGUAUGUCUGUGAAGAUCAGUUCUUGGUGGCUUUAUGACAAGAAGAAAUAGCAGAGGAGAAGGGAAAACAAAUGUGUGCUGAAGCAGGGAGCAGGUGGAAAGUAAAACAUAAGCAGAACUGCGGGGAGUUUUGAAGGACCAGCCGGGGGUUGCUCUGAGCCCCGGCCACCACCGUCCCUCAUAGACUGUCCUACUGCUGUAAAGCACACAGACAAAGUGCUUCCUGAGAUUUUAUCCUCCCACUUCAACUAUUUUUGAAGUUCUGUGAAUGGGAACUACAACUUCACUCGCUGGCAAAGGAACUCCACCUCGAAUAGCUGCUACAGUACAUCUUCUAAAAACAAUAACAGGGGUUUUUAUUACUCCUUUGUGGCAAAAUCCACAUCAGUAACCCCAGUACGGUGUCUGCAAACAAAACUCCAUUUUCUGUGACGUGUUAAAAACACAUCAAAUUAUGGCAACGCUCCAAUACAGUGCAAAAAAUGCAAUAAAUAUUCCCUUGAAGGGAAGGUGACAUUUUUUUCAGACUCAUUUUCCACUGCAAUCUCAGUGCCCCCUCAGCAGCCAUUAUCUGGGGCCAUAGAAAAUGCUUCUUGUUCCCUCUGACCUCACUGGGAGCAGAGUCAGAGAGUGACUGAGAGGGCUUUCAAUAAUGGAGCUGGAUUCGGAGGUGAAGACUGUAUGAACUGCUCCUCUGUAUCCUGAGAAUAUCGAAACGCAGUGCAGCCCUAUUACUUAGUGAGGAUCUGCUCGUCGGGAAGUCACUGCGGGAAUAAUGAGGGGGGAAGAACAAGAGGAGGAGGAAAAGGUGAGAAGAAAAGAGAGAGGGCGAGAGGGAGCAAAGAGGAAAAGGGGAUUUGCUUUUGAUGUCACACUUCUAUCAACUCAUGCAUUUUUCAUGGAUACCAACUAAUUCUGCAGUAACGCCGUGCUGACAAUCCAGGCACGAGAAAAAAUCAGCCCAGCUCCCACAUACCACCAUACUGGCUUAAAAGUGAAGAUACUUUGCAAAAUGAUCCAUUUUAUUGUUUAAUUCCCUUCUAAUUUGGGAGUUUCAGGUUCACGUAUUCAAGCUCUUCUCUCCAACUUGGGAUUCAGAAAUGUAAUUAUUUUCAUGUAAGCCGAGGUUCCAAUUUAAUCCCAUCUGCCGAAGAGUUUGAGCUGAAAACAAAGCGCAGUGUUGCAAAAUCUCACUGUAAUCAUAGGGGCUGCCAACAGUAAAUGUCACAACCGUGGCAUAUCGUAGGGUUUUGAUGCAAAACUAACUAAAAUUUAUGAGAUGUUAGGAGCGCUAAAAGUGCAUCCACUGAAGUUGCAUCUGUGCCAUUUGCUAGUAAUUAAUUACAAACUGAAAGUGAAGCCAACUGGCAAAUAAAAAUAAGCUGGUGGGACUCGGAGCUAACCUGCGCUGUAGUUCAAGCUUCAUGUUUUGUAAACUUGAGGAGAGCGCUGGCAUUUCUCGGUGCUUUUGAUUAAAACCCGAUCACUUUUUAAACAAAGCAAUUCACGACUUCGAGUGUAAACAUUCUUUGAGGUUGCAGUCAUCCGGGCUACAGCAACGCCGAUCCUCGCAGGGAAGACAAACAGCCCCUGCACAGGUGCGGGAAGCAGCACAGCACCUUUACGUGCCCGAGCAGGGUUGAUGCUGAAGGCUCCUGCUUAGAUGUCAGCCCUCAGACACCGCCCACCUGCGUGGUUCUGGGGGGGUUCCGGCAAUAGUUCUCUACGUUGAUGUGUAAGCGCUGGAGCCCGCGGUGGGCUCUCCGCAUACGUCUCUAAGCCGGCUGUCACGUAAGAGAUCACAACUAGACUAACGUCCC